rnacentral:rRNA from 1 species
UACGUAGGGUGCAAGCGUUGUCCGGAAUUAUUGGGCGUAAAGAGCUCGUAGGCGGUUUGUCGCGUCUGCUGUGAAAUCCCGAGGCUCAACCUCGGGCCUGCAGUGGGUACGGGCAGACUAGAGUGCGGUAGGGGAGACUGGAAUUCCUGGUGGUAGCGGUGGAAUGCGCAGAUAUCAGGAGGAACACCGAUGGCGAAGGCAGGUCUCUGGGCCGCGAAC